UCCUCCUCCACGCCGCUGCUGCUUUCAGGAAGCGGAAGCAGGAAUGUUGGAGUGUUUUUAGAAAAGUUUGGACUCUUUUUGUGACAGUUCGGGAGCAGAGACGCGGACUGCGGAGGACCAUGACGGUGAGGUACCUGUUGCUGAUGUCGCUGUAGAGUCGUCAGUCUUCUCUGACUGAUCAGAAAUGGAGAGUGGAGCUCUGGGAAUGGAAACCAGCGCCGCUACAGAUCCCAGACUGAAGUCGAUGAGCAUGGCCUGUGUGCGGCGGCGGGCCUGGGCCCAGAGCAAAGACUCCGUCUGGCAGGAGUCAAAACCAGGGGACUGUGGCCCCCAGGGACCCCAACAGACCCAGACUAAUGGUAACACACAGAGAC